AUUGAACGCUGGCGGCAUGCCUUACACAUGCAAGUCGAACGGUAACAGGUCUUCGGAUGCUGACGAGUGGCGAACGGGUGAGUAAUACAUCGGAACGUGCCCGAUCGUGGGGGAUAACGGAGCGAAAGCUUUGCUAAUACCGCAUACGAUCUACGGAUGAAAGCAGGGGACCGCAAGGCCUUGCGCGGACGGAGCGGCCGAUGGCAGAUUAGGUAGUUGGUGGGAUAAAAGCUUACCAAGCCGACGAUCUGUAGCUGGUCUGAGAGGACGACCAGCCACACUGGGACUGAGACACGGCCCAGACUCCUACGGGAGGCAGCAGUGGGGAAUUUUGGACAAUGGGCGCAAGCCUGAUCCAGCCAUGCCGCGUGCAGGAUGAAGGCCUUCGGGUUGUAAACUGCUUUGUACGGUAACGAAAGACUCUUCUAAUAAAGAAGGGUCCAUGACGGUACCGUAAGAAUAAGCACCGGCUAACUACGUGCCAGCAGCCGCGGU
rnacentral:rRNA from 1 species